UGGGGGAUAUUGCACAAUGGGCGCAAGCCUGAUGCAGCAACGCCGCGUGAGGGAAGAAGGUCUUCGGAUUGUAAACCUUUGUCUUAUGGGACGAAACAAAUGACGGUACCAUAGGAGGAAGCCACGGCUAACUACGUGCCAGCAGCCGCGGUAAUACGUAGGUGGCGAGCGUUGUCCGGAAUUACUGGGUGUAAAGGGCGUGUAGGCGGCAUAUUAAGUCGGAUGUGAAAUUUCCGGGCUCAACCCGGGGGCUGCAUACGAAACUGAUGUGCUUGAGUGCAGGAGAGGAAAGCGGAAUUCCUAGUGUAGCGGUGAAAUGCGUAGAUAUUAGGAGGAACACCAGUGGCGAAGGCGGCUUUCUGGACUGUAACUGACGCUGAGACGCGAAAGCGUGGGGAGCAAACAGG
rnacentral:rRNA from 1 species